rnacentral:rRNA from 2 species
CACCUGACCCCAUGCCGAACUCAGUAGUGAAACGAAACAGCGCCGAUGAUAGUGUAGCAUUUGCUAUGUGAAAGUAGGACAUUGCCAGGAUU